rnacentral:lncRNA from 1 species
CCAUUUUUGUUGAUUGACCGGGUCACCGGACACAUUUUUUAAACUAAAUACCCUAAUGAUGAUUGUGGCCAAGUUUGGUUUAAUUUGGCCCAGUAGUUUCAGAGAAGAAGAUUUUUGUAAAAGAUUACUAAGAUUUACGAAAAAUGGUUAAAAAUUGACUAUAAAGGGCAAUAACUCCUAAAGGGGUCAACUGACCAUUUCAGUCAUGUUGACUUAUUUGUAAAUCUUACUUUGCUGAACAUUAUUCCUGUUAACAGUUUAUCUCUAUCUAUAAUAAUAUUCAAGAUAAUAAGCAAAAACAG